AGAUCCCACGCGGGAGAGCACAGCGCCCGGGUUUCCCUGGGUUUGGCUGUCGCCGAAGGCGCAACCGGCCCCCGGAAACGCUCAGGCAGAAGGGCCGCGUGGGUAGG
rnacentral:ncRNA from 2 species